rnacentral:rRNA from 1 species
GAUGAACGCUGGCGGCGUGCCUAAUACAUGCAAGUCGAGCGAACAGACGAGGAGCUUGCUCCUCUGACGUUAGCGGCGGACGGGUGAGUAACACGUGGAUAACCUACCUAUAAGACUGGGAUAACUUCGGGAAACCGGAGCUAAUACCGGAUAAUAUAUUGAACCGCAUGGUUCAAUAGUGAAAGACGGUUUUGCUGUCACUUAUAGAUGGAUCCGCGCCGCAUUAGCUAGUUGGUAAGGUAACGGCUUACCAAGGCGACGAUGCGUAGCCGACCUGAGAGGGUGAUCGGCCACACUGGAACUGAGUCACGGUCCAGACUCCUACGGGAGGCAGCAGUAGGGAAUCUUCCGCAAUGGGCGAAAGCCUGACGGAGCAACGCCGCGUGAGUGAUGAAGGUCUUCGGAUCGUAAAACUCUGUUAUUAGGGAAGAACAAAUGUGUAAGUAACUAUGCACGUCUUGACGGUACCUAAUCAGAAAGCCACGGCUAACUACGUG